rnacentral:rRNA from 1 species
UACGUAGGACGCAAGCGUUAUCCGGAUUUAUUGGGUUUAAAGGGUGCGUAGGCGGAUAUAUAAGUCAGUGGUGAAAUACUGUCGCUCAACGAUAGCAUUGCCAUUGAUACUGUAUGUCUUGAGUACAAUUGAGGUAGGCGGAAUGUGUAGUGUAGCGGUGAAAUGCUUAGAUAUUACACAGAACACCGAUUGCGAAGGCAGCUUACUAAAUUGUUACUGACGCUGAGGCACGAAAGCGUGGGGAUCAAACAGG